AGUGAACGCUGGCGGCAGGCCUAAUACAUGCAAGUCGAACGGCAGCACAGCAGAGCUUGCUCUGUGGGUGGCGAGUGGCGGACGGGUGAGGAAUACAUGGGAAUCUGCCCAGUCGUGGGGGAUAACGUAGGGAAACUUACGCUAAUACCGCAUGCGCCCUUCGGGGGAAAGCCGGGGACCUUCGGGCCUGGCGCGAUUGGAUGAGCCCAUGUCGGAUUAGCUAGUUGGCGGGGUAAUGGCCCACCAAGGCGACGAUCCGUAGCUGGUCUGAGAGGAUGAUCAGCCACACUGGAACUGAGACACGGACCCGACUCCUACGGGAGGCAGCAGUGGGGAAUAUUGCACAAUGGGCGAAAGCCUGAUGCAGCGACGCCGCGUGAGGGAUGACGGCCUCGGUUGUACGUACUUCUAGCAGGAAGAGAGCAGUAGAGUACCGUGCACGAAGAAGACACCGCGUAACUACCGUCGCCACGCGACGCCGCGGUAAACG
rnacentral:rRNA from 1 species